GAGUGAAAUAGAGUGGGAUAGAAUGAAAUAGAAUGGAAUGAAAUAAAAUUAAAUGAAAUAGAAAACAAUGAAAUAGAAUAACAUGGAAUGGUAUAGAAUGAAAUGGAAAACAAUGCAAUAGAAUAGAAUAGAAUGGAAUGGAAUAGAAUGAAAUAGAAAACAAUGAAAUAGAACGGAAUGGAAUAGAUCGAAAUAGAAUGGAAUAAAAUGACAUGAGUAUGAAUGGAAUGAAGUUGAAUAUAAUGAGAUGGAAUAUAAUGGAAUGAAGUGGAAUAUAGUGAAAUAGAAUGGAAUAGUAUAAAAUGAAGUAGAAUAGAAUGAAAUAAAAUGGAAUGGAAUAGUAUAAAGUGAAGUAGAAUGGAAUGAAAGAGACUAAAAGAUAAUGGACUAAUUAAACUGAAUAGAAUGAAAUACAGUUGAAAAGAAUAAAAAGAAGGAAUCAGUAGGGUUAAAUACAGAAUAAAAUGAAAUAUAAUUGUACAGAAUAGAAUGGAAUUUAG